AAUCCAUCAGAAGAGACCAGUUUCCUCUGUUCCCAGCUGUCUGUCCAUGAAGACUGAUCAGUCUAUGGAACCUCCCAUUUUGUUUAAAGACAGAUGUUCUCACUGAAGAAAGAGUCCAUCAGAAGAGACCAGUUUCCCCUGUUCCCAGCUGUCUUUCAAUGAAGACUGAUAAGUCUAUGGAACCUCCCAUUUUGUUUAAAGACAGAGAUGUUCUCACUGAAGAAAGGCAAGUGUAUUCAGGUUUCCUGUAGUUCCAAGGUCAUUUUGAACUGAGCUGUUGAAAUAAGUCUUCUGGUUAAUUUAACAGAGUCCAUCAGAAGAGACCAGUUUCCCCUGUUCCCAGCUGUCUGUCCAUGAAGACUGAUCAGUCAAUGGAACCUCCCAUUUUGUUUAAAGACAGAGAUGUUCUCACUGAAGAAAGGCAAGUGUAUUCAGGUUUCCUGUAGCUCCAAGGUCAUUUUGAACUGAGCUGUUGAACUAAGUCUUUUGGUUAAUUUAACAGAGUCCAUCAGAAGAGACCAGUUUCCCCUGUUCCCAGCUGUCUGUCCAUGAAGACUGAUCAGUCAAUGGAACCUCCCAUUUUGUUUAAAGACAGAGAUGUUCUCACUGAAGAAAGGCAAGUGUAUUCAGGUUUCCUGUAUCUCCAAGGUCAUUUUGAACUGAGCUGUUGAACUAAGUCUUUUGGUUAAUUUAACAGAGUCCAUCAGAAGAGACCAGUUUCCCCUGUUCCCAGCUGUCUUUCAAUGAAGACUGAUAAGUCUAUGGAACCUCCCAUUUUGUUUAAAGACAGAGAUGUUCUCACUGAAGAAAGAGUCCAUCAGAAGAGACCAGUUUCCCCUGUUCCCAGCUGUCUUUCAAUGAAGACUGAUAAGUCUAUGGAACCUCCCAUUUUGUUUAAAGACAGAGAUGUUCUCACUGAAGAAAGAGUCCAUCAGAAGAGACCAGUUUCCCCUGUUCCCAGCUGUCUUUCAAUGAAGACUGAUAAGUCUAUGGAACCUCCCAUUUUGUUUAAAGACAGAGAUGUUCUCACUGAAGAAAGAGUCCAUCAGAAGAGACCAGUUUCCCCUGUUCUCAGUUGUCUUUCAAAGAAGACUGAUCAGUCUAUGGAACCUCCCAUUUUGUUUAAAGACAGAGAUGUUCUCACUGAAGAAAGGCAAGUGUAUUCAGGUUUCCUGUAGCUCCAAGGUCAUUUUGGUUAAACUGAAGAAAUCAGUUUUUCCCUGUUCACAGGUUAGGGUUAUUAGAUUAAAAUGUUACUGGUAGUCAGUAGAUAAAAUGUAGAGCACCUAAAGAAAUACAAAGGUUUUGGGUCACUUUGAAAUAUCCAGAAGUUGCCUCUUCAUUGUUGACGUGGAGGGUGGUGUUCUACCGAUACAAAUUAAUAAAGCUUUGUGAAAUCUGAGCAUUAAUAAUUUAGUAUUUACUCAUUGGAAGUCAAUGUGACUAGAUAAUGAGAACAACAGAAAUAUCUGUGUUUAGAUUAUCUCUAUGUAGGUUGCGCUCUGAUAACCACAGGAAUGUUUAUAUUGACCAUCUGGCCUGGGGGUUACUGUUUUCUGAUCUUUGCUAGGUAGACAGGUGUGUCCUCUUGCUCAGUUGUGCACCGGAGCCUCCCACGCCUCUUUCUAUUCUGGUUAGAGUCAGUUUGUGCUGUUCAAUGAAGGUAGGAGUACACAAACUUUUCAGAGAUUUUCAGUUUCAUGGAAAUUUCUCACAUGGAAUAGCCUUCAUUUCCCAGAACAAGAAUUGACUGACAAGUGUCAGAAGAAAGGUUUUUGACAAUUUGAGCUUGAAAUCGAACCCACAAAAGCUGAUGCUGUAGAUACUAAACUAGAACUGAACUAAAGAAGGCCAGUUUUAUUGCUUCUUUAUUCAGCACAACAGUUUUCAAUAUUGCUAACAUAAUCGCAAAAGGGCUUUCUAAUGAUCAAUUAAGCCUUUUAAAAGGAUUUACUUUGUGUAUUAGCAAACACAAUGUGCCAUUGGAACACAGGACUGAUGGUUGCUGAUAAUGGGUCACUGUACGCUUAUGUAGAUAUUCAAUAAAUAAUCUGCCAUUUUCAGCUACAAUAGUCAUUUACAAAAGUAACAAUGUCUAUACUAUAUUAGUGAUUAAUUUGAUGUUAUUUUAACAAAAAAAGAGCUUUUCUUUAAAAAACAAGGACAUUUCCAGGUGACCCCAAACUUUUGAAUAGUAGUCUAACAAAGACUAAUUUAUUGAAAAGGAAUUCCCAAUUUCAGACACAUAGCAAUAAUAAUACUCCAAAAGUAUUUUAAAACGGUACAUUAUCAUUUCCAUUUUUGUAUUCCAAAAUCUUUACGGAGUUGUGGAAACAAGCUUUAUUGAGGAUGUUCAUUUGUUUUGUGUAUUGAAGCUGUUCUGUGUGUUUUUUUUAAAGGUGUGUGUAUUUUAUCUGUAAGUUGAGUCAUCUUUUUUUUCGCUCAGAGACCAACAGGACAGACCAAUUUCGGAUAUACCUAGUGUUGAGGACUUGAAAGACCAUCAACAUGGCAAGACAUUUCUUG
rnacentral:lncRNA from 1 species